rnacentral:piRNA from 1 species
UGACUUAGGAUGUAUCUCUUUGUGGGC